GAUUUAAGUGCUUAUGUAUACUACUUAUUAUGUCAAUCAAUAAACACGCCACCGUUUUAGAUAUUUCCCUACAACUUCGGCUUAUUUCCCUUCUCAAAAAAUAAUAUGCUUAAUCGGAAGCACUUAUUUAUUAAUCAAUAAUUAGUCGACACUUUAUGUUUCCCACUUAAAACUUACUAGACUAAAAACUGAAUUAAAACGUGAUUAGUGUAAAGACGUGAUUAGUGUUUUAUGUAGACAUGAUUGGGGGAUUGAAGGGUUGACUUUGACCAGCACGUGCGCGAGGGAGUGAGAGGUCAUUUUCAGCAGAAAAAGCGGGUACGGAUACCGUUAUACACGAAGUAAUGGACGGGGAGGAGGAGAAGAGAGGAAGGGCAAAAGCGUAAAUAGAGAGAGGGGGGAAAGGGUAUAAUUGUAAAUAAGUGAAAAAAGAGGGGCAGCGAGUUAAGUACGCCAGUCUGUCCCCGCCGAGACAAGUUGCAU
rnacentral:lncRNA from 1 species